GAGUUUGAUCAUGGCGCAGAACGUACGCUGGCGGCACGCUAACACAUGCAAGUCGAACGAAGUAGCAAUACUUAGUGGCAGACGGGUGAGUAACAUGUAGGUAUCUGCCCUUUGGCCUGGAAUAACACGAGGAAACUUGUGCUAAUACCGGAUAAGUCUUUACGGAGAAAGCUUUAUGCACCAUUGGAUGAGCCUGCACUUGAUUAGUUUGUUGGUGGGGUAAUGGCCUACCAAGACUGUGAUCAAUAGCUGAUUUGAGAGGAUGAUCAGCCACAUUGGGACUGAGACACGGCCCAAACUCCUACGGGAGGCAGCAGUGGGGAAUCUUGCACAAUGGAGGAAACUCUGAUGCAGCGAUGCCGCGUGAGUGAAGAAGGCCCUUGGGUUGUAAAGCUCUUUCGUCGGGGAAGAAAAUGACUGUACCCGAAUAAGAAGGUCCGGCUAACUUCGUGCCAGCAGCCGCGGUAAUACGAAGGGACCUAGCGUAGUUCGGAAUUACUGGGCUUAAAGAGUUCGUAGGUGGUUGAAAAAGUUGGUGGUGAAAUCCCAGAGCUUAACUCUGGAACUGCCAUCAAAACUUUUCAGCUAGAGUAUGAUAGAGGAAAGCAGAAUUUCUAGUGUAGAGGUGAAAUUCGUAGAUAUUAGAAAGAAUACCAAUUGCGAAGGCAGCUUUCUGGAUCAUUACUGACACUGAGGAACGAAAGCAUGGGUAGCGAAGAGGAUUAGAUACCCUCGUAGUCCAUGCCGUAAACGAUGUGUGUUAGACGUUGGAAAUUUAUUUUCAGUGUCGCAGCGAAAGCGAUAAACACACCGCCUGGGGAGUACGACCGCAAGGUUAAAACUCAAAUGAAUUGACGGGGACCCGCACAAGUAGUGGAGCAUGUGGUUUAAUUCGAAGAUACGCGCAGAACCUUACCAACACUUGACAUGUACCGAAUU
rnacentral:rRNA from 1 species